rnacentral:rRNA from 1 species
GUGAGGAAUAUUGGUCAAUGGACGCAAGUCUGAACCAGCCAAGUCGCGUGAAGGAUGUCGGUUCUAUGGAUUGUAAACUUCUUUUGUACUAGAGUAAAAGUAGGUACGUGUACCCAUUUGCAAGUAUAGUACGAAUAAGCAUCGGCUAACUCCGUGCCAGCAGCCGCGGUAAUACGGAGGAUGCGAGCGUUAUCCGGAUUUAUUGGGUUUAAAGGGUGCGUAGGCGGCGAAUUAAGUCAGCGGUAAAAUUUCUGGGCUCAACCCAGUCGUGCCGUUGAAACUGGUUUGCUUGAGUACGGAUGAAGUAGGCGGAAUUUGUAGUGUAGCGGUGAAAUGCAUAGAUAUUACAAGGAACUCCAAUUGCGCAGGCAGCUUACUAAACCGUAACUGACGCUGAUGCACGAAAGUGUGGGUAUCAAACAGGAUUAGAAACCCGGGUAGUCC